rnacentral:rRNA from 1 species
GACGAAGGGGGCUAGCGUUGUUCGGAAUUACUGGGCGUAAAGCGUGUGUAGGUGGUUGCCGUAGUCAGGUGUGAAAGCCUUGAGCUCAACUCAAGAAAUGCAUUUGAUACUGGGCAGCUAGAGGACCGGAGAGGAUAGUGGAAUUCCCAGUGUAGUGGUGAAAUACGUAGAGAUUGGGAAGAACACCAGUGGCGAAGGCGGCUAUCUGGACGGUUUCUGACACUAAGACACGAAAGCGUGGGGAGCAAACAGG